rnacentral:rRNA from 1 species
CACGUAGGAACCUGCCCGGAAGUGGGGGAUAACUCCUCGAAAGAGGAGCUAAUACCGCAUACGGUCUACGGACCAAAGCAGUAAUGCGCUUUCGGAGGGGCCUGCGGUGGAUUAGCUAGUUGGUGGGGUAAUGGCCUACCAAGGCAACGAUCCAUAACUGGUCUGAGAGGACGGCCAGUCACACUGGGACUGAGACACGGCCCAGACUCCUACGGGAGGCAGCAGCGAGGAAUUUUCCGCAAUCGACGAAAGUCGGACGGAGCAACGCCGCGUGGGGGAAGAAGGCCUUAGGGUUGUAAACUCCUUUUAUGAGGGAAGAAGAUCUGACGGUACCUCAUGAAUAAGUCACGGCUAACUACGUGCCAGCAGCCGCGGUAAUACGUAGGUGGCGAACGUUGUCCGGAUUUACUGGGCGUAAAGCGCGCGCAGGCGGAUUGGUAAGUCUGAGGU